ACCCAGCUAGCUGCAGCCCUGCCGGUCGGAGGCCAGGGCGGACCUAAACGGCGACGGAAGGGCGGCGGCCGGGGCAGAAAGCGGCGUUGGAGAUGGAGGAUCGCAUCCACAUCUUCGUUUCGUCGGGAUUUGCCAGCCGGCCGGAGACCUUGGCUUGCAGGACGACAACGAGCUUGACGAGGGAGGGAGAGGCGGCGGGACAUGAAUCGGCGCGAGCUGAAGAGGGCAGGAGACCAUGGCGGCUAGGGUUUCCGCACCUGUCCCUGCGCCGAUGAAGAUGGUGAGCCUGGACAUGGUUGUCCCCUGACAGAUGAGUUUGGAGGCGACGAAGGCCCGCGUUGCGGUGAAGAGAUGGAGGAUCCCCUCCACAACUUAGUUUUGUUCACGUCAAGCUCACCCUCAAAGGUCUGGUGAAAGAACAUGUUGCCACUUUUGUAUUUUCCACCAACAUGCAUCCUUGUCGCUGUAGAUUUAAAUGUGACUGAGAAUUUCCAAACCUCACUCUAAAAUGGUUGACUUUAACCAUUAGCUCCAUCUUGCUCACGGUCGUGCUCGUACUGGUGCAAGAGAGAGGAGGUGGAGCAGCGUAGGGAGGAAGAGGUGAACCGGAAGAUCAUUUGUGGAUUGAUGUUCUGAAUAUGUGUAAUGGUAAUUUUUUUCAUAAGAUCUACAAGAACGUGUGCUCAUGGCGACACUGGAUCCAGUGGUCAGCAUGGUUAUCGCCGUCAGUGGUUCUCCUUGUCUUCAGGUUUGGCUUUUGGCUGGUAACAACGUCAGUGAGGAAGAUGUCCUUCACCCCCUUCUGAAGCUAAAGGUUCCGGACUUGUGCCACAGCAAUCUCUGGGACGAGGAGGAUGCAAAGAGGGAGAUGAAGCGGUAAGAUGAUAUCAUGAGAGAGGCAGAAGGAGAGACCUCCAGCGACACUAACGUGUGUAGGUGUUUCAGCAGCCGCCUUGGCUCCGCCUUGGCUCCGCCUCUAGGAGCCAAGUGUCUACUUCCACACCAUGCCCUUGUCUGUUUAUCCAUCUCUUCCUCUUAAAUAAACUUCGACAAGAAAUAUCAACAACGUGUUUGCUUCUAUCUUUCUGUAGGACACUUGAUGUGUAUUUUUACCUGUGCAUGCGUAGCAGCCUCCUUUAUAACAUCCAAUCUGUUAUUACAUUUUCUCCCCUUUCAUAUUCAGUUUUUAAAUCUAAAGUUUUUCUACACUUAAAUAGGAUCCUGACUGCAAAUACAGGCGUCACCAUAGAAAUGGAAAGUUGUGCUCCAUGUUUCAUGCCACUUUAACUUAAAGAACUAAUGAAUUACCUGGCCAUGUUAUGUUGAGAUAAAGAGUUCGCCUACAUGCUGACAUAUAGAAGUAUCUUAGGGUUUAUUCUUUUGCACGAAAAAUCUACAGGAGUAUCAUUAGUGCCUGGCAUCUCAGCUAAUGGUCAUAUUCCCUAACUUGUAUGUUUCAGCCGUUCAACAUUGUGGCAUAACCAGGAGCCCAGGAUAUAUAUUCUCUCUAAACCCAGGAUGUCGAGCCUAUUAACAUUUUUUUAGAUAUUUAUGUUCAUUGUAAAAUGGAUUACUUUGUGUUCAUGUGCUUAUAUGAAUAUGACCUGAUAAAUAUGUUGAUCGCGGUAGGUCUGCAGAUCUCAGUCGACACGUGGUUGCUCCUUUGGUUCCUAUGCACCGCUCCUUCGUAUUCUUGCGAUUCGACGCUACCUCCUGCUAUUAGCAAUGUUGUUCAUCAGUCAUCAUUGCAGUUAUUUGGUACUAUCGUGGAUUCGUUUGCAACUGGCUUUUCUGUUGAUAUGGAUGCUCACGAGGGUGCCCAGUUUAUCUUGGCAAAUGGUCGGCUGGGCAUAUCUUUAUAGUAUUGCUUCCUUUAUUUUUUCCUUCAUUCGUGAUCGUUCCGUGAACUUAUAUCAGUAUAGUUAUCGCAUCUUUAUGGGCAUCUUUUUGGUACUAGCAUUUUUAUGCCUACAGGUUGUUCAUGAAGUUCAGGGCUGGCGUGUUCACCAAGGACGCCACCGUGAUUGACUGUCAUCCAUAAGGGCAUCCCAUUUGCCGCCGGCACACAGACGACAAACGUACUGGCGUUCGUGUUCGAUGGCAUCAACUUUGGAGUGUCAGACUACUCAUACUAUGCUUACUCCAUGGUUAGGGUGAUGUCCAUAUGAGAGCCUAAGUACCAUAUCUAGCACCUGGAGGCCUUGGAUUGGAUUGUUUGACUGCGCCCAGUUUCUCUUAAUUCCCUGCAUGGGCUUGCAUAGCAUCUAAGCUCAGUAUUGGUAGUCAAGAUUGUGAUCUAUUUGCAUUUUGGCAUGUUUAUCUCAGGACUGAAAUGGUUAUUCCAGGUUAAUUGCAAUGUGCGUUGUGUUUAAAAAUACAUAAUGCCAAGCAGGUUGCAGACAAGCUAAUACUUUUUUUUGGAGGAAUAAUAUUGCAUUUUCUUUUUUAUGUUCAUUAUGACUUAACCUAAUAUGUCUAGCUCCAAGGAAAGCAGGGCAGUUUGGUAAGCAAGGAACAAGUUUCCUUAAUAUUCCCUGAUGCACAAAGUUGUGCAGUCAAGUACACGCUGAUACAUAUAUAAAGACAGUUAAGAAGGACAUCUCCCUUUUUUGCUAUGCAAAUGUGCUAGGAGUAGAAUCUUAUAAUACCAAAUGUGCUAUAAGUAGACUGGUAGUGCCUAUUAACUAGGGCAGAAAAUCAUACCAUUUCCCAUAAUUACCCUUUUUUUAUUUCAUAUCUUCCUUUCUAUGUGACCUAUAUAACUCGACUACAUAAAAUAAAUUUAUGUAUCAAAAUUCAUAGUUCAUAGGCAUUUAACCAUGUAGUUAAUAUUUAUAUAUGUCAUACUUGUAUUAGCUUCUGUGUUCGAUGUUCUUUCUUGAACUGCACAUGAAAUUAUUAAGCUGACAAAAAAUGAGAUUAAUUUUACAAUAAUUUGUGCUACAGUUGUUUUUUAUUCAGAUUAUAUACAUUGGCAACAUUUCUGUUGGGAAUCCCUUGCUCUUUUAUUGGAAUGUAUAAUGUUUUUACGGAAAUGACAGUCUGAUGUGCAAUCCAUUGCAGUGGUAUUUAGCUACAUUUCAGGGCAUGGUCUUCCUAUCAAUAUGAGGGUCAUCUAAAAUAAUUUAUCGGGCGGGUUCUCUCCCUUCGACGAGCUCUCACCGCCACUGUUCUUGGUCUCUCCAUCCUGCGCCGCCGCUCCGCCCAUCGCUGCCGCUAUAGAUAUGGAGAUAAUAACUCGCCGAGGUACGACUUUGUCGAUUCACUGGCUACAAUCCUUCAUCAUUCUCCUAUUGUGGAUGGAAAAGCUGGAUUUAUUUCUUAUGAGUUUGUAGGGAAGAGCAGUAGCUACUUUGCAGUAGUCUUUGGAGAUUGUAUAUUUUAACCUUAAGAUUUAUCAUUGGCUGAUUUGUGCUUUGCUUUUCAGUGGUGUUUCCGCUUGGUGACAUAGGUCCUCAGUAGUUGUUUGUAUCAUGUUAUCUAUGUACAGUGGGAUCUGAGGAGUGAGGAGUGAGCUCCUCCCUUUUUUAGUUGACAUGUGUUUAUAUGAACUAGGUGCACGGUGCAACAAUUCCGUUGUCCGCCUCACGUGGAUGUUGUUUCUGCCGUUCCUUAAUGCUUGCCAUAUGCGAAUGUUUUUUGCUUAAUGCUACUGCUGUUCGCUUAUUUGUAGUUGGUUCUAUCCUGUAGUGGCUUUUUCAAGAAAGAGACUAUUGUGAAAUCAUGAUGUUGUGCCGCUCUGCACUUGUAUUUGUUUCGUUCUAGCUGAGCGUGCCUUAGUCAAGAAAAAGACUGUUGUAAAUUCCUGGUUUGGUACAAUUAUGUACUUAUUAACGUGCUUUCAUGGUUCAUGGUAUACUGAUCUUCCAAUGUUGCUACUGUUUGGUGUAUGCCCACUUUUGGCAGUAUAUAUUCAGGAGCGUUAAGCAAUUUCAGUUCAUCGACAUUCUCCAGUCCUUUGCUGGGACCUUUUACAUUUACUAUUGACUAUUCAGUUUACAUAUCUUGGUACUUGUCUUCUUUGUUCGGGUACUUCUUACCAUAAAUCUUACUUUCCGAUAUUCAAAGUAUGGCAGCACGGAGUUGGCCAACUUGACAUCCAACCUGUGGCUACUGAACUUAGUGAGCAGAUAACUAAGACGGUUGGCAAACUCAAAGCUGCAUGGAUAUAUCCAUAUGGGGAAGAUGGUACUGAAGAUGACAAGUUCUCUGAGUUCCACUCUUCGAACCUAGAAAGCUUAUUUGGCACAUGAGCCAUCAGUGCUUCUGGUAAAAAAAAACAUAUUUCCGAGAACAAGCAAAAAAUCUUGAUGUAGGAGUACUUAAUGUACGAGUGUUAUAAUUUCUCUUUGUAGUUGUUGGAGUAGUGUUGUAGUAUUCAGUUAUAUUGUCAUUUACUCCAACAGUCAACAUACCUAGAUGCCAUCCAAGCAUGCCAGUACACUUAAUUAUUCUUGAUUUCUGGGAGUAGAUGAAGUUAAGUGGAAAUUAAGAUCUGCAUUAUACAGUUGUUGUUCUGCAUUGUUUGCUUCUUCUGCUUCCUCUAAAUUCUGACCUUAUUCAGUAGGUGGGCUGAAGUUAAUAUCAGGAACAACCAUUCUUCAGGUGGCAUUCCAGCAACGAUAUCGAUAGAGGAGCGAGCUUCUUCUUCAUGUGGGGCGAGGUGGCGUUCUGCAUCGACUGAGUGCAGUGAGCAGCAGGGUCUACCGCACACAGCAAGGUUGCAUUCACCCACUCCAGGCAUGCUAGCUGUCUCCCUCGAAAUCUACAACCAAGGGUCCAGGUGAGUGCUCUUAUAAUUUCUUGGUAUUUUUAGUUCUCUUUCUUGACUGGGUUUUACUUGCUCCCGUUGGUUUCCAGUAGUUCUAUGCUAUGCUGUUAAAAUUACAGGAAUAACUUUGUGUGUUAUUACGCAAAAGGCUUUAUGCACAGGUUCCAUUUCUAUGUGAACGAAACCAUGCUCAUAGUCAACUGUCAAUAGAUAGCUUGUAAUGUUCAGGUUUCCACUCCACCUAAUCAUUCAAUGUUUGUAAAUUGAUAGUGAGCACAGAUGCAUGCUUGCUGGACAUUAUUUCUUCCGGGUGUUUUGCCAUCUGAUGUAGAUUACUUCUUCCAUGUCCCAAUCUAUAAUGCUACAUCCCUGACUAUUAUGUUUCUGUAUUAGAUUUGUUGUCUGAAGAUUCAACGGACGACGGCCAGUUUGUGGAAGGUUCAGUAACAAAAUACAAUACUCAUAUGUUGUAAUGUACCACUAAUUAGCUGCUAAACAUUGGUUGCUCGUGCUACCGCCUAUCCUUACGCAAGUUCAAUAGUAAUUGUUGAGAUAUAUUUUGUGUUUUCUACUAAACUUUAACUAACAUAAUAGUGCAAGUACUUGUUAUGAUGAUCCCAUGUGUUCCUCAGGAUUGAGCUUAACUGAGAUCCAUUGUUGCUGCAAGUGGUAAUUUUACUUGAGCUACAAUCUGAUGAUGCUCCAGCUGUGCAGGUCAUCGGUGCGGGACGACCACCUUGGGCCUGGCACAGAGUGGUUGCCAGGAGCCAUGGCAUGGCCUGUUCAGCGGUGGCUUGGCGGACAAUGCUGUGGUGGUGUGCACCCUGGAGGGUGGCACUCCGUUCGCCGGGUGGCGUGAGCCGGCAAUUGUGGUUUGCCUUGUGACUUGGCUUGCUGGAGCCCGAUCUGGGCCACCACGCACAUUGUGCAUGCCCCUCUUAGAAAUUGGCACUUCAUCUUAGAGAUCUAAUUCCCUCUUAUUUACUUGUUCCCAGUUAGUUAAAAGAAAUAAAGUUUGUGAUUUGAAGUAUAUUUAAUGAUUGUUGUGAUUUGAAAAGCAAGCGUUAUGUUGUGAACCGGCAGGUCUAUGUUGCUUGCUUAUAAUAGAUUUUCGUACAUCAUCAAUAUAGUGAUCUACAAAACUGUGUAUUGCUGAUGGACGGGGCGUGUGCCAAGGAUCAUGUAUUUCUUU